rnacentral:rRNA from 1 species
UAAUUGAAGAGUUUGAUCAUGGCUCAGAUUGAACGCUGGCGGCAGGCCUAACACAUGCAAGUCGAGCGGUAACAUUUCAAAAGCUUGCUUUUGAAGAUGACGAGCGGCGGACGGGUGAG